rnacentral:rRNA from 1 species
UACGAAGGGAGCUAGCGUUACUCGGAAUCACUGGGCGUAAAGCGUAUGUAGGCGGAAUUUCAAGUCAGAGGUGAAAUCCCUGGGCUCAACCCAGGAAUUGCCUUUGAAACUGUAAUUCUUGAGUAUAGUAGAGGAUGGUGGAAUUUCCAGUGUAGAGGUGAAAUUCGUAGAUAUUGGAAAGAACACCGGUGGCGAAGGCGGCCAUCUGGGCUAUUACUGACGCUGAGAUACGAAAGCGUGGGGAGCAAACGGGG